UAGACAGAGGCCUGAUGGUUGGGGCAUCUGACUGUUAAUUAGAGGUUUGUGGGAUCGAGGCCCACCUGUCUAG
rnacentral:tRNA from 1 species